rnacentral:rRNA from 1 species
AUUCCAGCUCCAAUAGCGUAUAUUAAAGUUGUUGCAGUUAAAACGCUCGUAGUCGGAUUUCGGGGCGGCUUCGCCGGUCUGCCGAUGGGUAUGCACUGGCGAGGGCGUCCUUCCUUCCGGAGACUGGCCCUACUCUUAACUGAGCGGGGUCGGGAGUCGGAUCGUUUACUUUGAAAAAAUCAGAGUGUUUCAAGCAGGCAUAUCGUUCUUGCAUGGAUUAGCAUGGGAUAAUGAAAUAGGACUUUGGUGCUAUUUUGUUGGUUUCGAACACCGAGGUAAUGAUUAACAGGGACAGUCAGGGGCACUCGUAUUCCGCCGAGAGAGGUGAAAUUCUCAGACCAGCGGAAGACGAACUACUGCGAAAGCAUUUGCCAGGGAUGUUUUCAUUA